CGUGUAGGCGGGCAGAUAAGUCAGACGUGAAAUUUUUCCGCUUAACGGAGAAACCGCGUUUGAAACUAUCUGUCUUGAGUACGGGAGAGGAAAGUGGAACUCCUGGUGUAGCGGUGAAAUGCGUAGAUAUCAGGAGGAACACCUGUGGCGAAGGCGGCUUUCUAGCCCGAUACUGACGCUGUGGCGCGAAGGCUAGGGGAGCAAACAGAAUUAGAUACUCUGGUAGUCCUAGCGGUAAACGUUGGGCACUAGGUGUUGGUUCCUUAAAGGAUCAGUGCCGAAGCUAACGCAUUAAGUGCCCCGCCUGGGGAGUACGGCCGCAAGGUUGAA
rnacentral:rRNA from 1 species